GACGUAGGGCGCGAGCGUUGUCCGGAUUUAUUGGGCGUAAAGCGCGUGUAGGCGGUCCGAUCAGUCGGCUGUGAAAGUCCAGGGCUCAACCCUGGGAUGCCGGUCGAUACUGUCGGGCUAGAGUCCGGAAGAGGCGAGUGGAAUUCCCGGUGUGGCGGUGAAAUGCGCAGAUAUCGUCAAGAACACCGAUAGCGAAGGCAGCUUACCAAGCUGUAACUGACACUGAGGCACGAAAGUGUGGGGAUCAAACAGG
rnacentral:rRNA from 1 species